rnacentral:rRNA from 1 species
UACGUAGGGGGCUAGCGUUGUCCGGAAUCAUUGGGCGUAAAGAGCGCGUAGGCGGCUAGAUAAGUCCGGUGUGAAAGUCACAGGCUCAACCUGUGAAUGCCGCUGGAAACUGUCUGGCUAGAGUCCGGAAGGGGCGAGUGGAAUUCCUGGUGUAGCGGUGAAAUGCGCAGAUAUCAGGAGGAACACCAAUGGCGAAGGCAGCUCGCUGGGACGGUACUGACGCUGAGGCGCGAAGCCAGGGGAGCAAACGGG